CUUGUUGACACGGGGUGCCCAAAAAGGCUGAGAUCACACCCGAGAACCUGAUUUCGUUAGUACGAACGGAGGAAUGUCCUAUGAGUGCCAC
rnacentral:ncRNA from 1 species